rnacentral:rRNA from 1 species
GAUGAACGCUGGCGGCGUGCCUAAUACAUGCAAGUCGAGCGAACAGACGAGGAGCUUGCUCCUCUGACGUUAGCGGCGGACGGGUGAGUAACACGUGGAUAACCUACCUAUAAGACUGGGAUAACUUCGGGAAACCGGAGCUAAUACCGGAUAAUAUAUUGAACCGCAUGGUUCAAUAGUGAAAGACGGUUUUGCUGUCACUUAUAGAUGGAUCCGCGCCGCAUUAGCUAGUUGGUAAGGUAACGGCUUACCAAGGCAACGAUGCGUAGCCGACCUGAGAGGGUGAUCGGCCACACUGGAACUGAGACACGGGCCAGACGCCUACGGGAGGCAGCAGUAGGGAAUCUUCCACAAUGGGCGAAAGCUUGACGGAGCAACGCCUCGUGAGUGAUGAAGGUCUUCGGAUCGUAAAACUCUGUUAUUAGGGAAGAACAAAUGUGUACGUAACUAUGCACGUCUUGACGGUACCUAAUCAGAAAGCCACGGCUAACUACGUG